GUCUAUGGCCAUGCCACCCUGAACAAGCCCAAUCCUGUCUGAUCUUGGAAGCUAAGCAGGGUCGGGCAUGGUUAGUACUUGAAUGGGAGAUCACCUAAGAAGAUCAGGUGCUAUAGGCG
rnacentral:rRNA from 1 species